rnacentral:rRNA from 1 species
AUGGCGGCCUCCGGACACCAGCGUCUGUGCUGCAUGGGCAUGGUGGUGGACGGGCGUGCUCGCAUGUUCCCCGACGGCGCCAUGAAGGCCUACUUCGGCAACGUGCUGACCAUACCGUACGGCGUCAUCGGCACCGACGAACUUCGCCGCAGCAUGACGCUCGCGGACGUGGCGGACGACGUGCACCGGUGGGUGCGGGAGGCCGCGACGGGCGAGCACUUCCGGGGGCUCAUCGACUGGGUGGAGGCGCUGCGGCCCAAGCCGGCCGUUGCCAGGGCGUACCUGGGCGGCACCGGCGGCUCCGAAGCGAUGGCGUGCUUUGUGUCAUCGGGGAUGGGCUUCCCGGUGGGCGAGGCCGAUUUCGGGACGGGUCUGCCGGCGUUCGCGUCAUACCACUUCCCGUGGCCCGCUGACACGGGGUACAUCAUGCCGAUGCCGAGCGCACGCGGGGACGGGGACUGGGUUGUGUACGUCCACGCGGUGCCAGAAUUGGUGAAGGUGAUGGAGGAAGAGCCAUCUGUUUUCAAAGCCCUGGAGAAUAGCUAUGUGUUGGGAUGA